AACGAACGCUGGCGGCAGGCCUAACACAUGCAAGUCGAGCGAAGCCUUCGGGCUUAGCGGCGGACGGGUGAGUAACGCGUGGGAACGUGCCCUUUGGUACGGAAUAGCCCCGGGAAACUGGGAGUAAUACCGUAUGUGGUCGAGAGACGAAAGAUUUAUCGCCAAAGGAUCGGCCCGCGUUGGAUUAGGUAGUUGGUGGGGUAAUGGCCUACCAAGCCGACGAUCCAUAGCUGGUUUGAGAGGAUGAUCAGCCACACUGGGACUGAGACACGGCCCAGACUCCUACGGGAGGCAGCAGUUAGGAAUAUUGGACAAUGGGCGCAAGCCUGAUCCAGCCAUGCCGCGUGAGUGAUGAAGGCCUUCGGGUUGAGAAGCUCUUUAGCCGACGAAUAUAAUGACUGUAGUCGGAGAAUAAGCCCCGGCUAACUUCGUGCCAGCAGCCGCAGUAAAAC
rnacentral:rRNA from 1 species